GUGCAGCAGGCACACAGAGAUGACAAACACAGACAGGCCGACCUAGGCGUGUCUACCUGUCCUACCCUGCCCUCCCAGGGGAGCCUGCACUUCCAGAGUAGGCUGCUGGCCAGGCUUUGCUUGCCUCCCGUUGGCAUGGCUCGGUCAACCCUGAGAGUCUCCAGUGGGAUCGCCUUCACGUGCGCCCCUCCCCUCUACCCUCCUGUCACUGAUGGGGUAACGCUGGCCUGGCCGGGGAGGAAACCCAACUGCAGACUCAGCCGGUACAAAGGAACGGAGCCCCGAGGUAGCUGGUGAGGGAGAAACACAGUGCAGCCUCAUCCGCAGGAUGGAAGUGCUGCUCGGCCACAGAAAGAACGAAGCACUGACUCACGCUACAAGGGAGCUGAGAAAAAGUCCCAAAGGCUACAGGACGUGUCGAUCUUUGGCCUUCUACAGCCCCUGGGGCUGAGGAAAUCUCUCGUGAAGACAGAGACGUACCAUGAACUCAGCCUCAGACUCAGGCCAGGUUCCAACCACGGUCCAGCCAUGGCUGCCUGCGGUGUGGCCUGGGGAACCCAGACUGUAGCGGGUUGACUUGUGCCCCCUCAAAAGGUAUGCCCGAGUCCUGAUCCCUGGAGCCUGUGAAGGAGACCUUAUUUGGAAAUAGGGUUUCUGCAGAUGUAAUUAAAAUAAGGAUCUUGAGGUGAGAUCAUCCUGGGUUUGGGGUGGGUCCUAAAUCCAGUGACAAGCAUCCUUAUACGAGGAAGUAAAUUAGAGACACAGCGACACAGAGGGAAGAAGGCCAUGUGAAGGCACAGGCAGAGAACGGAGAGGUGCUACCACAAGCCAAGGAACACCAAAGGACUAUUGGUGGCCACCAGAGCCAGGAGAGGGCCAGGGACAGAUUCUCCUUCAGAGCCUACAGAAGGAACCCACCAAGCCCACAACCUGAUGGUGGACUUCUGACCUCCGGGACUGUGACAGAAUUAAUUCCUGCUUGUUUUAAGCGCACUCCCCCACCCCAUCCCCACACCCCCGUUUGUGGCGCUUUGUGACGGCAGCCCCAGGACACUUGCACAGCAGCAUGCCCCUCCGGGACCCUGUUUCCUCAUCUUUAAAAUGGGCAGAAGUGUUGUCAAGGACCCCAACAGAUGGAAAGUGUACCCGAAGGCACAACAACAAAUUAUUCCUGUUAUUAGAAAGUGACUCUUGGCGUUUUGCUCAGACUGGCUGGAACUUGUGAACAAUUUCUCAACGGUCGGGGCUGGAAAUAAACAGCUUGGUCUCGUGGGAUCCGGAGCUGUGACUCUGAGACAGUUGUUCUCAUCUGGGGGAUAAUCUGCCCCCAUGGGACACUUAGUAAUGUCUGGGGACAUUUUCGGUUGUCACAUCUGGGGGGAGACGGUGCCAGUGGCAUCUGGGGGGCGGAGGCCGGGAGCACCGCUCGACAGCCCGCAGCGCACAGGAUGACCCCUCCAGGCAAUGACCUGGCCCCGGCCGCCGGUGGUGCUUUGGCCGAGAAAGCCCAGCUCUACACUACAACAAUCUUCUCCCUUUCCAAACGGUCGCCCCAGGAAGCACGUUUAUGGCCGUGACGUGGACUUGGCUCAAGCCUGUUUUGGAAGCCAGCGUGGGCACCGCCCUCCAGGAGCUCCUAACCGCUGGGGAAACUUGGCCUUGCUGGCUCACGCCGCCGAGGCUGGAGGGAGGCAGCAGGGCGGGGUCGGAGGCAUCUGACUCAUGAGGUGCAGACACCAGGCAAGGAGGGUGACUAACGGCCCUCGAAGAAUGUGCCAGAAUCCCUUGGGGCAACUGCAGGGGAAGAGCUCCCAGGACAACUGCUGCGCAAGGGCGGCCCUCAGAGAAGAAGGCACCGAGGCUGCCAGCUCUAUGUCCAACAGGGGGUUGCUGUGGGGGGGCCUGUCUCCUGACCCGUCCAUGUGCUGAGCCCUGUGGACGUAGCCUUCUUUGGAAACGGGGUCUUUGCUGACGUAAUUAGUUAGGGUGAGGUCAUCCUGGAGUCGGGUGGGCCCCAAAUCCAACGACUGGUGUCUUUAUCAGAAGGGACGGGCCAUGUGACAACAGAGGCAGAGAUCAGGGUGACGCGGCCACAAGCCAAGGAACGCCGGAGCCUCAGGCUCAGGAAGCUGGAAGAGGUGACGAAGGACCCUCUCCCAGAGCCUUGGGAGGGGCCGGGCCCUGCGUGACACCUUGCACUCAGACUUCCGUGAGAAAUAGGCUUCCGUUGUUUUAAGCCACCCGGGUUUGCGGUAACUUGUUAUGGCAGCCGCGGGACCUCACCCCGGUGCCGGGGAUGGUCUUCAGCUAGAAAAGGAAAUGGCACCGUGACGUCACUCCUGCCUCUUCACUGUGUUGCGUUGAGACCUCGGGGCUUGGCGUCCACACCAAACACGGGCAGAUCUACCUGCCUGCCCGGUUCAGUGAGGGGUAAAUGCUUGACUUGGCCAAUGCCGCGUCUGCCCUCUUGUUUACGUACUUAACUUCUAACAUCGCCAGUGGCCUGCUCCAUUCUACCUGGGACCGCAGAGCCAGGCACUGCUGCUUUGGCCUGGAGUGCCUGUCGUGGCCACAGACUAUCGCCACGAGGCCGCGGGAUCACCGGGAGCUUCGCUGACACUAAGUUCUGGAGCUGGGAUGGAGCCAGACCGACCGAUGGACGCCCUUCGUAGCUCCCACGUCACACGAACCCUCCCUGCAGCACACAGGGUCCCAAACGAUCUGCCCGUCACUCCCCUAUCACCUCCCUGUCCUCACUGCCUCUUGCCCUGGCCCUUUCUUGUGCCCUCCAGGCCCCAACACGCCAGGCUCAGUCUAGCCUCCGAGGCUUUGUGCUGGCCGUGCCCUCCGUCUAGAUGCCGUGUGGCUCACCUGACCUCCUUCUGGGCCCAGCUCAGCACCACCUCUCACCUACUGUCCCCUUAACCCUUCUUCCUUGGGCAUGCCUGCCGUCCUGGCUGGCACUCAGCUCGCACACGAGGCCUGCUGUUUGUUUCGCUGCCUGCUGCCUCAUUGCUGGGAUGACCGCUCUGCGAGGGUAGGCUCUGUUGUCCAUUUGGGCCACCACGCAGCCCAGUGCCUAGAACGGUGGCUGGCAUGUGGCAGAUGUGCGCGCAGAGUAUUUGCAGAAGGAACAGAUGAUCCGAACAGAGGAGGCGACAACACGCGCAGGGUACACAGCUUUAAAAGGAAACACACGCGCUGUGGCUGAUCCCUCAGUAGUUUUUAAAACGCUUGCACAAAAAACGAUGGCUGAUCUCUAUGUUACGUGUAUAGGAGAAGAAACAGGCCGGCUAUACAUGCUGGCACAGGGCCAGACUGUACAACCCCAAUUAACUUCUUGCUGGUGAUCUCGGACAUCGUCAGGGAGGAAGAGGAACCGAAAUGUGUUCGGCAGGCGUAGGCUAGAUGCGCUGUCAGUGAAUUUGCAUGGCAGCAGAGUGGCUGUGUCAGGCCUUAGGCUUGGCGGGGAGGGAGGAUCAACCAGAGGCUGGAGGUCAACACUUCAGGGUGGGUAGGCCCCCACCCCCCUACUCUGCGAAAGGAGGGUCUGGGGUCCUGUGGAUGGACAGACUACAACACACCCAGAUGGUGCGGUAUCAGUCCGCAAGAUGAAGAAACGAGCUCUUAAGCCACGAAGGAACCUCAAAAUGUGUGUUACUAAGUGAAAGAAGCUGGUCUGGAAAGGCUACGGCCAGUACGAAUCCAACUCUAUGGCAUCCAGGAAAAGGCAAAGCUAUGGAGCCAGGAAAGGGAUCAGGGGCUGCCAGGGCUGGGGGGAGGGAUGAGUAGGCCAGAGGACUUGAGGGCAGUGGAGUUACUCUGGAUGACGGGGUACUGGCACAUAGUUGGUGACGCUGUGCCUUUGUCCAAACCCACAGAAUACGCAACACCAAGAGUGAACCCCAGUAUAAAUAAUGGACUUGAGUUAAUAAUCGUAUGUCAACACUGGCUCAUCUACUAUAACAAAUGUAACAUGCUAAUGUAAGACGUUAAUAAUAGGGAAAGUGGGGGCGCCUGGGUGGACGGUUAAGCGUCUGACUUCGGCUCAGGUCAUGAUCUCCCGGUUCAGGGGGUCAGGCCCCACGUCGGGCUCUGUGCCGACAGCUCAGGGCUCGGAGCCUGCUUCGGAUUCUGUGUCUCCUUCCCUCUGCCCCUCCCCUGCUCAUGCUCUGUUGCUCUCUGUCUCUCAAAAUAAACUUAAAAAAAAAAAUUUUUUUUUUUUUU